rnacentral:rRNA from 1 species
UACGGAGGGUGCGAGCGUUGUCCGGAAUCACUGGGCGUAAAGGGCGCGUAGGCGGCUUCUCAAGCGUGUGGUGAAAGUCCGGGGCUCAACCCCGGAUCGGCCGUGCGGACUGGGGAGCUCGAGUUCUGUAGAGGCGGGUGGAAUUCCGGGUGUAGCGGUGAAAUGCGCAGAUAUCAGGAGGAACACCGGUGGCGAAGGCGGUUCUCUGGGCCUGUACUGACGCUGAGGAGCGAAAGCCAGGGGAGCAAACGGG